CGUUGAUGAUGGUAGAGAACAGAGUAUCGGUGGAGCGUGAGCGUUGCAGAGAUGGCAGUACAGCAGGAGCAGAUUAACCAAGCCAGCACUGCAUCAACCGGGAAGACGAAGAGGGAUUCGUCUGCCGCAAAGAGAGUAUCCUAUCCCUUAUCUGUCUAUCAAGUUGUCUCGCAAUGGAAUCAGAGGAACGGUAGAUUUGGCGAUGAAGACGGGCAUUACGUUCCAUCCAUAACCAGUAUAUGCAGCUUUGCCAGCAAAGGCGCAAAAGAAUUCCCUUUGUCGAGUUCCUCCCCGUCAAUUGAAUCUGAUUCAAGACGAGAUGCCAUAGCCUCUCAGGUUGGAUACCGCACCGAGCAGCGAAGCUUCCCCAUAGACUCCAAGCAUAGGGACACACGAAGAACAAGUGAUCCCUGCUCUCAUCUGAGCCAUUACAGAGCAGGCAAACCGGUGAUGUUUGAUGUCCCCAGCGGAUGACUCUGUCUUUAGUAGGGCAUCGAUUCAGUACAAAGAGCCAAGAGAGAAAGCUAUGCCUCGGAAUUCCACACUUAUUCCAGACAGUGCCAAACCAAGGGGGGAGAGACCAGUUGUUGUUGCUGCGCAGAGAGGCAAUUGUUGCUUGGGGAUGAAUACCUAAGCCCGAGUCUCCCACGAUGUUGAGAUAUGAUCUCAGAGAACCAUAGGGAGACCAAUUAUCACUCCAGAAUCGAGACGAAGAGCCAUUCUGUACUCGAAGUUUUAUCCAGCUGAAUAGAGAGGUACUGAGCUUGAGGAGCUUGUUCACCUGCCAUGAGUAGCGCUGGCUUGGAGCAGUAGUCCAAAGGUUGUUAACAGAGCCUCGUAGAACCUCUUCAACAAACCAAGCAACCCACACUGAACCUGCUUGGAAGAAGAGCAACCAUAUCAGUUUGAGACAGCAAGCUUUGUUCCAAAUGGUGAGUUUCUUUAUCCCCAGCCCUCCUUCACGCUUUGGCGUAGUCACAACAUCCCAAGAGACUCUUGCAUUGUGGUGCUUCUCUAUAUCUCCCUGCCAAAUAAAUACACCACAAAGAGAGUUUAUGCGCUUCACACAUGCUUGGGGGAGUAUAAAGGUGGAACACCAAAAAGUUGUGAUGCCAGUUAUGACGGUUUUGAUUAGCAGCAGUCUACCAGCAAAGGAUAAUGAUUUUGCGCUCCAAGAGGAUAGUCUGGACUUUAUUUGCUGUAGCAACACCUCGCAGUUCAAUAGGGAUAGUUUCUUCGUGCAUAACGGGACGCCAAGGUAACGCACUGGAAGUGUUCCCAUAGGCAUGCCUGUAGAGAAUUGGAUGAGAUCUGUUUCACUUUGCGAGAGACCAGACGCAUAGAACGAAGAUUUCUGCACACUAACUGCUAGCCCCGACCUCUGUUCAAACUCACGGAGCACCUGCAGGACAGUUUGUACCGAUUCCAAAGAGCCAUCCAUAAAUAUCAACAGAUCAUCGGCAAAGCACAGAUGGACGCAAGCUCUCAGCCAUGAUAGGAACACUUGAGGGACGUUGAGACUUUGGAGAGAGGAGAACAGAAAGCUCCAAGACAAGGAACAAUUAGCGGAGCAAGGAUUAUCUUCAGCCGUUUUACAAGCAGUCGUGAGAUCACCUUGUAUAUAGUGUUCAAGCAUGAGAUGGGACGAUACUCGGUGAUGAGUGACGCUCCUGGAUACUUGGGAACUAGCGACAAGAUGGUGGCAUUUGUGGAAGCUGGCAUAAACGAAGAAACAAAGAAGUGGCUAAUAGAUUUGAUAACCUCCUCUCCCAAAAUACUCCAAGCGCCCUUAUAGAACCCUGAGGGACUGUAGUCAUCUGAACACACUGACUAUCUGAGCAGAUAAACUCAGUGAGGGAGUGAAACCAUGCAGAGGUCGAGAUCAGUCCAACUGGUGGGGCAGGCAUAGGACCUAGGAUCUUCUGGAAAUGGAUUACCGCAUGAACACUCAUCUGCUGAGGGUCAGUAAGGAAGACUCCAGAUGGAAGGAAGAAGGAGCGUAUGAAGUUGUAGUUCAGCCUGACCUGCACCGUUCUAUAAAAGAAGGAAGUGCCAAACCUGAAGCGCCUGUUUCUCCAUCUGAAAGAGCUCAGGGGUAGGAGUUUGAAGUACUUGUACCUGCACAUCUAAAAGCACACGUAAAGAUCAGUGAGAUUCCCAACAGCGCUUCCGGCCCAUGCCCAUGCGUCAAACACUACCUGGAGAAAGCCCGGGUGUUUAGUGAGGUAGUUAUAGAAUUUAAAGGGUCGGUUUCCAGCAGUGGGGAUUUUUGUGGCCAGGUCUAGGGUACAAGGGCUGUGAUCAGAGGUUAGGGUAGGAUGGAAAGAAGCAGAGCAGUGGGGGAAGAUGCUUAGGACAGGGUUGUUAAUAAGCAAGCGAUCCAGUUUUUUUGCAAUCGGGUCAUCUGGCUGACUAUUAGUCCAAGUGAAGGGAGAGCCAUGAUAACGUAGAUCAUACACUCCCAGCUGAGUGAAGCAAUCUUUAAGCUCUAUCAUGUCAGUGGAGUAGGAGUUGACAUGUGGGAGAGAGUGCUCAGCAGGAUGGAUGAUUUGGUUGAAGUCCCCACCUAUCACCCAUGGAGUAGUGUCCAGCGAGAAUGAAAUGCUCAUAUUGAGAAGCUCAACCCACAGAUCAUUACGCUCAUCUCUUUCAUUAGAUGCAUAGACAGCAGUAUAAACAAAUGUGGAGCAGCCAGGGAUUUGUACUUCACAAGUAACCGCUUGCCGGGAUUGCUGAAGCACACGGACAGUGACAGUGUCUUUCCAGAUGACAACAAUCCGACCAUCAUCAUCACUCGCAUGAUUUGAGGCACAUCAGAAGAUUUUGACGGUGGAGGGAGGAGGAUACAGUUACGAGAGACAUGACCCAGUUCUUUACAAUGAGAGCAUGUAGCAGGGACCCAAGGAUAAGAAACUUGGACUUCCACAACCUCACCGCUCUGCCUUAUAAACUCCACAACCUUUGGCAGAGGCUUUGUUAAAUCCACUGCAACUUUUACAUGCGAAAGGGUCAAGCUCACCAUGUUUUUAGUGAAGUCGUCAGUCUCUUUUGGUUCUCCAACCAAGCCUGCAACUAGACUAAGACCUUCCUCAUGGCGAAGAUCAAGUGGUAUUCCUGUCAAGUGUGCCCAAAUUUGAAUUGAUUCCAGCGAUGGAGGGGUGGAUGAUACUGAAGAGGACCACUGGACUGCAUGAAACAUGGAUUCUCCAACAUACCAAACACUUUUCUCCAAAUUUUUUUGUCUCAAGUAGUCAGAAGGGAUUCGAACCAGCAUCGAUCGGCACCCUUCUCAAAAACACUAUCAGGAAUUAAAACUCGAGGCACACCAUUAUCUGUCAAGGUGACUGGAGCUAGGCGCCUCAGAGUUUUAUUUUCCAAUUUUCUGAUUUUUUCCACAAGAGGGGUGGAGGAUGGUGGGGUAACAGGAGGUAAGUUAUUGGGUAAGGGAGCAGAGGAAGGGAUAGAAGGUUGAGAAGCAUUUGACGCUAAGGCAGGAGAAUGGGGAGGGGGGAGAGGGCAGAAGGAAGAACUGGUGAAGGUUAGUUGUUGUUGGAGAGGAACUUCAGUUUUUAAAGGGGGGACAGGGCUUGAGUUAAUGGUAGGUUUGGAAGGGGAGACAGGAAUCAAAGGAACACGAGAGGUUUCAAUGGGUAGAAGUGGAGCUGAGGCUUUAUUAGUGUGGAUUGGGGAAGGGAGUUUGGGAGGAAGAAUUUUGAAAUUUCCAUGGUUUAGGGCUACAGUGUUUUGAAUAGUGAUUCCAGAUCUGAGAGUUUCAGAUCGAGAGACCACAGUAGAUUUUGAAGUUGAACCAGUGGAAUUGGUAGCAGCGACAGUUUUCAAAGCAGGGGAGUUUGAACCAGGCCUGGAAGACUUGGUAGUGCGCGGAAAGGAGCGAGAGGGUUUGGGUGAGACGGAACCAAGGGGAGGGAAGGGGUCAUUUGGGUCAGGGGGGUCUGGAGGGUCAGGAAGGGGGCUAUCACCAGGAGUGAAACGCGACGAAAACGGGGCGGAAGCACUGUGUGGAGGGAACCAGCAGUUCGCCAUUCACUGAUCAACGGAACACCUAACCGUGUAUCGAAUGCGCUGUAUACUUAACAUGUGGCGGCUCAACCACAAGACUCGCUGAAGUAGUGACGGAUACAGAAGGUGCAUUUAGAAUAGUGCUCAACGUCUUACUGACAGUUCUCCUUAACUCUAGUAUCUGCGGUCUCGGAGUUAAUGUUCCGGAGGGAUAUUGUGCUCUUGUCGCACCUGAAAACAUCCUCUACGCCCCAUUAAUGCUGCCAACUUAAUUUUCGGAUAGUAAUAUUCUUGCAUGGAAAGGGGACUUUCAUGCAAUAUAGUAUAUGGUCUUGUAUAUUUUUUACAAUGAGGCGUUAUUUGAUAUUAAUGGUCAUAUUUUUUC